UUAUUAUCGCGCCAACACUAAAUUAGGAAGUGACUAAAUUAUCCAUUUCGGUCGUUAUUCAUAAUCGACAACAAUCGUUUCCACAAUUUUACAAUUCCCGUUGUUAGAUUCUUUAUAUCACAUUAAGUAAUGGAAAAAAUUCCCGUUUUUUACGCUCAAUCCGACGAGACCAAGCCCGAUUUCAUAGCAUUACCACACGCAUAUUCUUGGAUUUUCCCCCGAUUUGAUCGAAACCCACUUCCAUUCGAUUAAAUCCCUCCUUUUUCUUCCUCUUCUCUUCAACUCUGCUCUGGAAUCCCUCCGGUCCGCUGCCUUCUCAGCGUGAUCACUGGGGAUUCUGGUUCUUCUCCGAUUACUACUACUACGUCUCUCCUUUCUUCUUCUUUGGGUAUUUUCUUUUUUCUUGUGAUUUUGUCUAGCCUUGAGGUUUGUUUUUUGCCCACUUUGGUGUUUCAUUUUUGUUUGUGGAGCUAUGAGCGAUCAUCUCGUUCUGUAUGUGGACCGAUUAGUUCGGCCGCCACCCGUUGAUUCCGUCCCCAACCCAGCUGAAGCUGUUCCUCUCUUGCCGGUUGGUGGGGAUUUGGAGAGCGACUCGGUGGGUUUAUCUUCUUCAACCUCUGCUUCCAAUGUUGAGGAGAGGGGAGAAGAAAAUGAGGGUUUGGAUGGAGAAGAUGAUUCAUUGAUUCAGACAGCGGAGUGUCGCAUUUGUCAGGAUGAGGAUGUAAUUAGGAAGCUGGAAACUCCUUGUGCCUGUAGUGGCAGUCUUAAGUAUGCUCAUCGGAAGUGUAUACAGCUUUGGUGCAAUGAGAAAGGGGAUAUUAUUUGUGAGAUUUGUCAUCAGCCUUACCAGCCUGGUUAUACAGCUCCGCCACCUCCCCCUCGCAUUGAAGAAACGUCUAUUGACAUCGGGGGAGGGUGGACCAUUACUGGCACCCCUUUGAAUUUACACGAUCCUCGCCUUUUGGCUAUUGCUGAGGCUGAGCAUAAUUUAUUGGAAGCCGAGUAUGAUGACUAUGCUGCUUCAGAUGCCAGUGGAGCUGCAUUUUGUCGAGCAGCUGCUCUUAUUCUCAUGAUCCUACUUUUCUUACGUCACGCACUUGAAGUGACAGAUCCUGAUGGCGACGAUUACUUGUCUGCUUUCUUCUCUAUCUUUGACAUUCCUCAUCUUGUGGACAUUUUUUUAACCAUACCAUCCAGAUUUUCUUGCUUCGAGCAGCUGGUUUUCUCUUGCCCUGUUACAUUAUGGCUUGUGCAGUCAACAUCUUGCAACGUCGACAACGACGACAGGAACGAGAGGCUGCAGCCUUGGGUGCAGCACAAGUUGCUUUUGUGCUACAAUCAGGACGGCACAGGGGGCUGCAAUUUGCAAUAGCACCAGGACCUCAAAUGACUCCCCACCAGGAGACUGUUUAACUUACAUAGGCACAAAAUACUUGCAUUGGGUCCAUAGCAGGUGCACCAAACUCAAAGGGCCAUCAACCUUUUGUCCACUUGCCCUCUUCACCCAUCACAAACAUCCAACCAUUCUCAAGUCAAAAAGACACAUCUAGUCUCUCUUCACAGAUUUGAAUCCAUACAUUCUCCUUUUUCAAUAAUUUAAUCUUGAUGUUUGUAGAAGAUAACAAAUAAAAUUAAGGUAAAAAGUAAAAUGGAAUACAAAAGAUUGUCCUUUUUUUUUGGGUAAAGAUGAGUAGUUAGGAAAUGGAGUGCAUGUUGUUGAAUCAAAUGGGGUGUGUGUACCUCACAAAAACCUCAAUUAUUGCACAUCAAAUAAAAUUGUCCCUAUACUUACUGCCA